UUUCAGAAGAUUUAAUUUACAUUUAAAUGUGCAAUUUUUUCUAUGCAAUAAAAACACAUUGUAUGAAAUUUUUUUAAUGCUACGUCAUGCCUGAAAAAAAUUCUUUUUCACAUUUUGUAUUUGCAUAAGUUUCUGCAGCGAAUCAUUAAUUUGCAAGAAAUGUCAUUCGUAUAAUUUCUCAUUUGUGUAAUUGUACAUCCUACCUAGUGUUAAUAUUGUGGUAUUGAUUAAGCCAGAGAAAUGUAUGUGUGGUUCUCAGUGUGCUCUUUUGCUCUGGUUUCUUUGUCUUGCAGCAUGUAAUACUGUAUAUGUGUGUGUGUGUGUGUGUGUGUGUGUGUGUGUGUGUGUGUGUGUGUGUGUGUGUGUGUGUAUGUGUGUGUGUGUGUGUGUGUGUGUGUGCCUGUGAAGAAUACACGCAUGUUGUUUUUGUGUGUCUAUCUGAAUGUCACAGGGUGUGUGUACCUGUCAGUGGAUCAGAGAGUGCGAAUGUGUCUGUUUGUCUGUCAGAAUCUGUGAGUGUGUAUCUGUCUGUCAAUAUGUUUGCAGUAUGCUCCCACCUGUCUCUCCGCCUCUCCCCCUCUCUCUGCAUUCUGUCACCUCAGGUUCCAUUGAAAUUCUGAUGGGAGUUGCAAGGUAUUUUGUUCUGUUGUUCUCCUUAUUGAGAUGACAGAGAGAGGGAGCGAGCGAGCGAGCGAGCGAGAGAGGGAGAGAGUGAGAGAGAGAGAGCGAGAGAGAGCAGGAGAGAGAGCAGGAGAGAGAGAGAGAGCAGGAGAGAGAGAGAGAGAGAGAGAGAGAGAGAGAGAGUGAGAGGGAGAGAGAGCAGGAGAGAGAGAGAGAGAGUGAGAGUGAGAGGGAGAGGGAGAGAGAGCAGGAGAGAGAGAGAGAGAGAGCGGGAGGGAGAGAGAGAGAGGGAGAGAGUGAGAGAGAGAGAGAGAGAGAGAGAGAGAGAGAGAGAGAGAGAGAGCGGGAGGGAGAGAGAGAGAGAGGGAGAGAGUGAGAGAGAGAGAGAGAGAGAGAGAGAGAGAGAGAGAGAGAGAUUUCUGUCGGUUGCCAAAUGCUAUGUAUGCCUGUUCUUAAAUAACAUUGAUGACUGUAAUUGGAAGAAGGUUUGAAGAGCUCCAAAAGAAAUGUUCAGUGAGACAUUUCCUAACAAACACAGAAGCCAG
ensembl:lncRNA